rnacentral:rRNA from 1 species
UACGUAGGGUGCGAGCGUUGUCCGGAAUUAUUGGGCGUAAAGAGCUCGUAGGCGGUUUGUCGCGUCUGCUGUGAAAACCUAAGGCUCAACCUUGGGCUUGCAGUGGGUACGGGCAGACUAGAGUGUGGUAGGGGGAGACUGGAAUUCCUGGUGUAGCGGUGGAAUGCGCAGAUAUCAGGAGGAACACCGAUGGCGAAGGCAGGUCUCUGGGCCAUUACUGACACUGAGAAGCGAAAGCAUGGGGAGCGAACAGG